rnacentral:rRNA from 1 species
AACGAACGCUGGCGGCGUGGAUAAGACAUGCAAGUCGAACGGGAACUUCAGCUGUAGCAAUACAGUUGAAGUUUUAGUGGCGAACGGGUGCGUAACACGUGGGCAAUCUGCCGAGAAGUGGGGGAUAGCUCGCCGAAAGGCGAAUUAAUACCGCAUAUGAUCAGCUAAGACAUCUUAGCGACAUCAAAGCCGGGGCAACCUGGCGCUUUUUGAGGAGCCCGCGGCCUAUCAGCUAGUUGGUGAGGUAACGGCUCACCAAGGCUAUGACGGGUAGCUGGUCUGAGAGGACGACCAGUCACACUGGAACUGAGACACGGUCCAGACACCUACGGGUGGCAGCAGUCGAGAAUUUUUCUCAAUGGGGCAACCCUGAAGGAGCGACGCCGCGUGGAGGAUGAAGGUCUUCGGGUUGUAAACUCCUGUCAUUUGGGAACAAGCUGCAC